GGGCGUGGGGCGCCCGGUGUGGCGUUCGGCUGCUCGAGGCGCCCGGCCGGGGCUGUCACCUCGGGGCGUUCGUGCCGUCGCGCGCCCG
rnacentral:tRNA from 1 species